AGUGAACGCUGGCGGUAGGCCUAACACAUGCAAGUCGAACGGCAGCACAGUAAGAGCUUGCUCUUACGGGUGGCGAGUGGCGGACGGGUGAGGAAUACAUCGGAAUCUACUUUUUCGUGGGGGAUAACGUAGGUAAACUUACGCUAAUACCGCAUACGACCUACGGUUGAAAGCAGGGGAUCUUCGGACCUUGCGCGUUUGAAUGAGCCGAUGUCGGAUUAGCUAGUUGGCGGGGUAAAGGCCCACCAAGGCGACGAUCCGUAGCUGGUCUGAGAGGAUGAUCAGCCACACUGGAACUGAGACACGGUCCAGACACCUACGGGAGGAAGCAGUGGGGAAUAUUGGACAAUGGGCGCAGGCCUGAUACAGCCAUACCGCGUGGGUGAAGAAGGCCUUAGGGUUGUAAAGCCCUUUUGUUGGGAAAGAAAAGCAGCAGGUUAAUACCCCGCUGUUCUGACGGUACCCAAAGAAUAAGCACCGGCUAACUUCGUG
rnacentral:rRNA from 1 species